GCGCAAUGUCCGAAAGGGUGACGCAGCGACGCCGCGUGGAGGACGAAGGCCCUAUGGGUCGUAAACUCCUGUUGGGGAAGACGAAUGAUCAGCUAUACGCUGAUUUGACUGUAUUCCUCGAGGAAGCACCGGCUAACUACGUGCCAGCAGCCGCGGUAAUACGUAGGGUGCAAGCGUUGUCCGGAAUCACUGGGUGUAAAGGGUUCGCAGGCGGAUCUGCAAGUCGUUGGUGAAAUUCCGGGGCUCAACUCCGGCGCUGCCAUUGAUACUGUGGAUCUUGAGUGUAAGAGAGGAAGGCGGAAUUCCUGGUGUAGCGGUGAAAUGCGUAGAUAUCAGGAAGAACACCGGUGGCGUAGGCGGCCUUCUGGCUACCACUGACGCUCAGC
rnacentral:rRNA from 1 species